AUCAUACUCCCUCCGUCCGAAAAUACUUGUCAUCAAAAUGGAUGAAAAAGGAUGUAUCUAGAACUAAAAUACAUCUAGAUACAUCUCCUUUUAUCUAUUUUGAUGACAAGUAUUUCUGGACGGAGGGAGUAUAUA
rnacentral:pre_miRNA from 1 species